GAGGGUGUAGCUCAUUGGCACAGUGUGUGCCUAGCAUGUACGAGGUCCUGGGUUCAAUCCCCAGUACCUCCA
rnacentral:tRNA from 1 species